rnacentral:snoRNA from 1 species
AUUUGAUGAUGUGGACAUUGUAUUUGUAAGUCCCCAAAUCUUUUCCAUGCUUCAAAGAAUUCUUUAGUAUGUUUUUGUUUAAAAGUUGGGAUCUUGUUUCUUAACUC